rnacentral:rRNA from 1 species
UACGAAGGGGGCUAGCGUUGCUCGGAAUUACUGGGCGUAAAGGGCGCGUAGGCGGAUUGUUAAGUCGGGGGUGAAAUCCUGGAGCUCAACUCCAGAACUGCCUUCGAUACUGGCGAUCUCGAGUUCGGGAGAGGUGAGUGGAACUGCGAGUGUAGAGGUGAAAUUCGUAGAUAUUCGCAAGAACACCAGUGGCGAAGGCGGCUCACUGGCCCGAUACUGACGCUGAGGUGCGAAAGCGUGGGGAGCAAACAGG